UAGGGAAUCUUCGGCAAUGGACGAAAGUCUGACCGAGCAACGCCGCGUGAGUGAAGAAGGUUUUCGGAUCGUAAAACUCUGUUGUUAGAGAAGAACAAGGACGUUAGUAACUGAACGUCCCCUGACGGUAUCUAACCAGAAAGCCACGGCUAACUACGUGCCAGCAGCCGCGGUAAUACGUAGGUGGCAAGCGUUGUCCGGAUUUAUUGGGCGUAAAGCGAGCGCAGGCGGUUUCUUAAGUCUGAUGUGAAAGCCCCCGGCUCAACCGGGGAGGGUCAUUGGAAACUGGGAGACUUGAGUGCAGAAGAGGAGAGAGGAAUUCCAUGUGUAGCGGUGAAAUGCGUAGAUAUAUGGAGGAACACCAGUGGCGAAGGCGGCUCUCUGGGCUGUAACUGACGCUGAGGCUCGAAAGCGUGGGGAGCAAACAGG
rnacentral:rRNA from 1 species